rnacentral:lncRNA from 1 species
AGAGAUCUUCUUUGGAGAAUUUAAGAAUUCAGGACCAGGCGCAGCUGCUGAUGGACGUGUUAAAUUUGCCAAGCAACUGACUGAAGCAGAAGUAAAACCUUUCAUUUCUCUUAGGAUGCCAGCUCCUAAGGCGAUAUUUGCAUAUAGUACCAUAAGCGAGGUUAUAUGUCCCGAAGGAUGGUCUAAUAAUGAACAUCCUGAAAGAGAGCCGUAAGAAAUUUUAGCUAAUCUCUUUAAUCUCAUAAAAUGACUUAUCUAUAAUACUCAUUUUGCAUAUUUCUAUAAGGUUCUGUGAAUUUUGCAGAGAGAUCUUCUUUGGAGAAUUUAAGAAUUCAGGACCAGGUGCAGCUCCUGAUGGACGUGCUAAAUUUGCCAAGCAAUUAACUGAAGCAGAAGUAAAACCUUUCAUUUCUCUUAUUUAUAUUGAAGGUUCUAAAUGGCUGCUUCCUCCUCCCAAAUUGUGAGGACUAUAUUUAUAGCAGGAAGUAUAUGAAUUUGAGCGCAAUGAUGUUUAGGCGUACAUGGCCAUCUACGCCGGAAGAAUCCCUUGUUAUUUUGGAAGGCCUAUCUUAUGGUUUUGGCAUCUUAGUUACCACUUGUAAAUAAGCCAGAUUAGAGUAAUAUAUCUGGUUCUGCAAUUUUCCCAACAAUGAUUUUGCAAUUAUCUCAUUUAUUAGUUUCAUGUAAUUUUUAGUCAUUUUAUAAUUAUUAGCCCAUAAAUACAUGUUUUCUCCCCCAUUGACUUCAAUUUUCCAUUUGAUACAAACCAUAAAUUUUCUUUCUAAAUACUGAUUAAUAAAUAGAAUAUUCAGAAUAAAGAGUGUCUGCGUGUAAUUAUGGAUAUACUAACUAAAUAAGGAAUGAAAACUAACUAAUUAGGAGCCAAUCAGGUGGUGGUCUGGUUGGUCUUCUCUCUUAUGUGAGGAGUGGGAGGCUGCCCUGUGUUGUAUAGUCCAUAGUAUUAUUUCGGUCUAUAAAAGUCUCUAAUGAAUUUAAAAAACUAACUAAUUAGGAAAAAAAAAAAGAUUUUUUAACUAAAAAGGAAAGAUAAAAUCUAACUACAUAAGAAAAUAUCAUUGCCUUAACUAAAUAGGGACAAAGAUACAUAAUAUAUAAGAACAAUAAAUAAAAUUUUAAAAUAAUAUCCUAAGAAAUAAACAAUAAUGCUAUAUAAGAAUUUCAUCCAAAUAAGUUGUGUUAACUGUUAGGUACACAUACACAUGAAAUUUGUAGCUUUGUAGUGUUGCACUCUAGCUAUGACAAUCUUGAUGCAAUAUAAAUUAAAUCUUUCAUAUUUUAUUCAUAGAAAUUUUUGAGGUCGGAUGGCAUUUAAAUAAUGGAAUGUAUACAUCUCAUGAAUUUGCUAGAUUCUUUCAAUUAAUAGAGAAAAAAAAUGAAGUAUGCUACAUGGAAUUAAUAGAUUUCGAGGUAUCCCCAAUUACAUUAAUUUAGAAGAGAGAAAAAUAUCAUCUCAAUGCUGGAAUUUUCUCAAUUCUAUCAUUAUUAAUCAUUUAAUUUUUUUUCCAAAAAUAUCUUUUAAAUUCAUGGAUUAUAUUUUUUCAUUUAAAUAAUGGAAUAUGAAAUUCCAUUGAUUUUACAAUUCAUAAAUUUUAUAUUUCGUGAAUUUGGUAAAUUUUAUGACCAAAUUUCAUCAAUUUAAAUUAUCUCCUUGAGACUAAAAAAGUGUGAAGUAAGACAGAUGUUAAAAGUUUUAACAAUGAUUGUACAUUUGUUUUUUUUUUUUUUUUUUUUUUCUUGAAAACAUUGUACAUUUGUUGUUAAUCUCUUGCAAGUUCCAUGUGAAUUGAAGAUUUUUUUUUUUUUUUUUAAAGUUUCCGAAUGCUAUAAAUAAUAGAAAUUCAUUGUUCAAGAUCAGUACUACAAAUUAGCACAUUCAUUAAAGUUUUAAGAACCAAACUUUAUGAAAUUCAAACAUGACUAUAUUAAAUUCUAGAAUAUAAAAACUAUGAAGACCUCCUCGACCGUAAGAUUCAGAAUCUGACAGAAUUAAAAAUAUAUUCAUGCAGAAGAUGACAAAAAAUGAAUUUUUUAGAAAUUAUUUCGGUAUUUUUUUUUAGUGUACUUUAAGAUCUGGUUAAAGCUCCACUGAUGAAAAUAAAAAUUUUUUAAAAAUUAUUUCUACUUUAUUUCUUUUUUCCUUUAGCUUUAAAGUCUGGAUUUUUUUCUUACAAAAUCAAGAUAUAGUUGAAGAAUAAUAAUUUCUUUGUCAGGUAAAAAGAAAAAAUUGCAACACAUAAUUUUGAUGUAUGCCACACGGCGGAUUUAUGUUCACGACAAAGUUUCUUUAUAUAUAUAGAAAUAAAAGCAGAGCAGUUUGCAAUAUAUAAAGCAAAGCAUAAGUCUAUGAAAUUAUCAAAUGUGAGGAGAAUAACAAUUAUUUAGGACAAUUAUAGUUGGACAAUAAUUAUUUAGGGUAGUUGUAAGAACAUGAGUUAUUUUAUAUUUUCCAAAAGGUUGGAUGAAUUAUUAAAAAUUAAAAUUAAAAUUAAAAUUAAAUAAAAAAUUAAAAAGAGAUACAGUAGGGACCAACAACCACUGUAAUAUAUACUUACAACUUUUUAUUUUUAUUUUUUAUUUUUCAUUUUUCCCACUCAAUUACGCAUCAUGAUUAAAGUUAGGGUUUCGAAACACAGAUUGCGGAAGAUCAGUAAGCAUUUAUCAGGAUUCUGUUAUUCAUGAUUUAUUUUAUAUGGCUGUUUGGCUCUAAAGAAAACCCUGUAAAAAAACCAUAUCAGUUUCCUUUUGUUUGCGGCAAUUAUAAAGUCUAAGUUUUUCUGUUAGCUUUUAUAUGUUUGUUGUGUGUUCAUAAUGAAUGUGAGAUUCUUUUUUGUUAUCUAAUUUGACAUAACGCACUCAAACAGGAAUUAGUUUGCUUUUUAUUUAAAUGUCCUUUUCUUGGUUUAAUAUUAUUUAGAUAUUGGAAGUCCAAGCAAACUCCAGUAUAACUCCAAGCUUGAAAUCCCUUCAUGAAACCCACAUCAAGUUCUUUUUAAUCUAUUCCAAAAAUCUGUCCAUGAGUAGUUAUCCAGUGCUCAAUUUGCACUUGAAACAACAAAGAUUUUUUUUUUUUUUUUUCCACUCCCCAAGUACCUGUUUAUAAAGCCUAAUUCUCCAAAUAAAUAUCUUUCACUUCUAGCUUUCAUAUCAACCCAAAACCAGGUUUCUACAGGUGAAGAAGACAUUCAGUUUACUUAAAAUAUACAUGUGAUGAUGUGUUGCAGUUUUUGGUUUUGCAUACUAAAGACUCUUUUCAUUAAGCUGCUUCUCCUCUAGGAUGUCAAAUUGGCCAUUCCCAUCUAAUAUGGACGUUCAAACGUAAUAUAAUCUAAAUGACUCUUCUUCAUAUUUAGAAAGGGCAGCUUUUAUUCCUGUAAACCGAGGCAUAAAUUAUUAGUUUCACUAACUGGACUGCGUUAGAGUUUAGGCAGUUUUUGCUCUAUACACUCUCAUGUGUUUGCGUUAGAGUUUUUAUUUGCAUCAAUAUUUUUUCCUAAUGGUUCAUCUUUGAUUUCAGGGAGAUCGUAUCCAUGCACUGAUUAGUAAAAAUAUUAUUCGUUUAUUCAAAUCAAAGAUACACGAGUUUAGAUUAUAUUUCAUGAAGAACUUUAUAAUUGCACCAAAUAAUUAUAUAGAAAAUCGUUUCACAUAUAUUUUCUAUGAGUUGCUACUAUUGAUUUUAUAGGAAAAUAACCGAGUUUGGCUCAUUGUGGUUAAUGCCGUACUUUUUUUCCUAAGUAUUAUUAUUUGAUGCAGUUUAUACCAUGCAUGAUUUUUGUUAUGCAUACCCUAGUAAAAGGCUUCACAUGAUACUUAAGAAUCUCUCAAUAAAAUAAAAUUUUGUAAUGCAUUUCAAUGAGAUACUUUAUUAUACAAUUUUAUUAUUUUUCAAUGCUGUUAUAAAAGAUAAUUUCAUCAUUCAAUAUUGCUUCGUGCAUCACGCAAGUUCUUACAUGAAUAAUAUAUAAAAGUAAUGUAGUUUGCCUUAUAUGGUGUAAGUAGCACAAUUUGCCAUUUGACAUUAUUUUGAAUUAUAGAGUGACAGAUGUUAGAAUUUUAAUACAAUCUGCCACUUGGCGGUGUUUUGAAUUAUAAAAUGACAAAUAUUAGAAUUCUAACACAAAUUAGCAUAAUUGUAAGAAUUGUAAGAAUUGUAAGGAGAUCAGUUAUUUUAUAUUUUCAGAUGAUUCCUUUAUCAACAUAAUAUCUAUAAAAAAAAUUAUCUUUAGCAUUCAAUAUAUUAAUAUAAAUUUAUUUCUUUUUACAAAAUAAUUAAUAAGUAAUCCACACACAUAAAAAAAUUGUGAAUAAACAAUAUAUUACUAUUAAAUAAACAAUAUAUAAACAAUUUAAAAAAUAUAAAUUGUAAUGUACUGAAUACGAUAAUUUUUUUUUAAAAAAAUAUGACAUUCACACGCUUAGAACACAUACAUUCAAUAAGUAAUAUAUUAAUAUUUCAAAUAAAUAAAUAGUCACUUAUAAUAAAUUAUAAAUAAAUUUAAAAAGUUAAUUUCUUAUUUCAAUCAUACAAUUCUAAUUUUGAAGAGCUCCAUUCGUGAAAUGAGAGGAAAAAAAUAUUUAAUAUCAAGUUUCCCAAUACCAAUUCUGAUGUUUGAGUUUUAUUUACACUUACACUAUUUCAAGAUAUAGCAAAAGCCUUUUUCGAUUUUUAAAAUAAAUACGCUUUUGCUUUCGCUAGAUUACUUUUGCUAAACCAAAUUUAUUAUGAUUGAUAUUAUAAAUUUAUAAAUUAGAUAUGUCAAUUUUCUAUUACACAGUUCUUCCUUGAACAUCAAAAAUAGUUUACACUGUAUCAAUUUAGACAAAAUUACUCCCUCUUACUCAACAAUUGACAAUUGAUUUAUGAAGAGUUAUGGCAGAAUUGCGUUUGGAGAAAGUGAUCGGAAAAAAACAAUAAAUAUGUAUUAGUAGGUCCAAAUUUUUACAAUCAUAACUCAUUUUUUAAGUUAUUAAAACAGCAGCACCGAACAGUUUAGGUAAAAUAGUAAAGUUUUAAAUGCAUUUUACAUUUUUUUUUUUUUGUGCAAAAAAAAAAAAAAAUCUUGUAUUUAUUUUGAAUUACAAAAUAAAUAAAUAAAAAAAAAAUAGAAGUGACACAAGCCACAAAUUUCAAACAAGAUACACGAGAAUCACUCCCAUUACUGCAGAAGAAAGCAAGAGAAUGCGAUAAACUUUCUAAAUCUCAAUUGUAUUAAGACUUCUUCCUCUUCAGUGUUAUAUAAAUUGCGAAUUCAUAAUAAAAAAGAAGCAAGAAACAUAUCAAGAAACUAAAAAUCUAUACAAGCUGAUUAAACGCCUUAGUCUCCUCGCAUUCGUCGUAUAUGCCAUCAUCGCCAUUGUUUUUACAGCAAUAACUGUUAGCUCUGAUGAUGCAGCACCAAUACCAGAGGCUGAAGCUGAAGUAAACGCUUGGUUUGAAGCAAAUGUCAAGCCACUGGCAGACCGUAAGGGCACUUUAAAUGCUGACCUUGAAGCGGCUGAAGCUACUCCCAAAACUAUUAAGGUGAGAGCAGACGGAAGUGGAGAGUUCAAGACUAUAACAGAUGCUGUUAAGAGCAUUCCAGCCAAAAAUGCACAACGCGUGAUUGUGGAUAGUGGACCUGGAACCUAUACCGAGAAAAUUACCGUUGAAAAAGAUAAGCCCUUUGUUUCGUUUGUCGGAGUACCUGAGAAGACAAUCAUAGAAUUUGCUGGCACUGCUCAUGAAUUUGGAACUGUGUAUAGCGCAACAUUACAAGUGGAGUCUGAUUUCUUUGUGGGAAGCGGUUUAGUUAUCAAGGUCCAUUUACAACGCUUUAGCUUUUCUUCCGUUAUUUAUGCUUUUCAUUUCUGUCACGUUUUAACAAUUUAUGGACUUACUAUUGCAUUAGAAUACUGCACCUCCGCCUGAUGGAGUAAGACCUGGAGCGCAAGCAGUUGCUUUCAGAAUUGCUGGAAGUAUGUCAAGUUUUUACAAUUGCAGAUUUAUUGGAUUUCAAGAUACAAUAUGCGAUGACAAAGGGUUUCACUUUUGGAAAGACUGUUACGUUGAAGGCACCGUUGAUUUCAUCUUUGGGAGUGGAAAGUCUAUUUAUCUGGUAAUAAAACUUCCAUUAAAACUCAACAUAUAUUGGAUUUUGUUUAUAUGCACAUAGUAUCUUUAUUUCUUGAAUAUCAACAUCAAUAUAUAUUCCAUGCAGAAUACCCAGUUAGAGGUUAUACAAGAUAAGGACAUGACAGUGAUUGUUGCACAAGCAAGAGGAAAUGCUGAAGAUACUGGCUUUUCAUUUGUUCAUUGUAGCNNNNNNNNNNNNNNNNNNNNNNNNNNNNNNNNNNNNNNNNNNNNNNNNNNNNNNNNNNNNNNNNNNNNNNNNNNNNNNNNNNNNNNNNNNNNNNNNNNNNNNNNNNNNNNNNNNNNNNNNNNNNNNNNNNNNNNNNNNNNNNNNNNNNNNNNNNNNNNNNNNNNNNNNNNNNNNNNNNNNNNNNNNNNNNNNNNNNNNNNNNNNNNNNNNNNNNNNNNNNNNNNNNNNNNNNNNNNNNNNNNNNNNNNNNNNNNNNNNNNNNNNNNNNNNNNNNNNNNNNNNNNNNNNNNNNNNNNNNNNNNNNNNNACUGAAGCAGAAGUAAAACCUUUCAUUUCUCUUAGCUAUAUUGAAGGUUCUAAAUGGCUGCUUCCUCCUCCCAAAUUGUGAGGACUAUAUUUAUAGCAGGAAGUAUAUGAAUUUGAGCGCAAUGAUGUUUAGGCGUACAUGAA